GACGUAGGGCGCGAGCGUUGUCCGGAUUUAUUGGGCGUAAAGAGCUCGUAGGCGGCUUGUCGCGUCGUUCGUGAAAACUCACAGCUCAACUGUGAGCUUGCGGUCGAUACGGGCGGGCUAGAGUUCGGUAGGGGAGACUGGAAUUCCUGGUGUAGCGGUGAAAUGCGCAGAUAUCAGGAAGAACACCAAUGGCGAAAGCAGCUUUCUGGGACGGUACUGACGCUGAGACGCGAAAGCGUGGGGAGCGAACAGG
rnacentral:rRNA from 1 species